AUACGGAGGGUGCAAGCGUUACUCGGAAUCACUGGGCGUAAAGCGUGCGUAGGCGGUUUGUUAAGUCAGAUGUGAAAGCCCCGGGCUUAACCUGGGAACUGCAUUUGAUACUGGCAGACUAGAGUAUGAUAGAGGGGGGUAGAAUUCCUGGUGUAGCGGUGAAAUGCGUAGAUAUCAGGAGGAAUACCAGUGGCGAAGGCGGCCCCCUGGAUCAAUACUGACGCUGAGGUACGAAAGCGUGGGGAGCGAACAGGAUUAGAAACCCGGGUAGUCC
rnacentral:rRNA from 1 species